AUUGAACGCUGGCGGCAUGCCUUACACAUGCAAGUCGAACGGUAACAGGUUAAGCUGACGAGUGGCGAACGGGUGAGUAAUGUAUCGGAACGUGCCCAGUCGUGGGGGAUAACUGCUCGAAAGAGCAGCUAAUACCGCAUACGACCUGAGGGUGAAAGCGGGGGAUCGCAAGACCUCGCGCGAUUGGAGCGGCCGAUAUCAGAUUAGGUAGUUGGUGAGGUAAAGGCUCACCAAGCCGACGAUCUGUAGCUGGUCUGAGAGGACGACCAGCCACACUGGGACUGAGACACGGCCCAGACUCCUACGGGAGGCAGCAGUGGGGAAUUUUGGACAAUGGGCGCAAGCCUGAUCCAGCCAUGCCGCGUGCGGGAAGAAGGCCUUCGGGUUGUAAACCGCUUUUGUCAGGGAAGAAAAGGUUCUGGCUAAUACCUGGGACUCAUGACGGUACCUGAAGAAUAAGCACCGGCUAACUACGUGCCAGCAGCCGCCGCCGUAA
rnacentral:rRNA from 1 species